UACGUAGGGUGCAAGCGUUGUCCGGAAUUAUUGGGCGUAAAGAGCUCGUAGGCGGUCUGUCGCGUCGGCUGUGAAAUCCCGGAGCUCAACUCCGGGUCUGCAGUCGAUACGGGCAAACUGGAGUACUGCAGGGGAGACUGGAAUUCCUGGUGUAGCGGUGAAAUGCGCAGAUAUCAGGAGGAACACCGAUGGCGAAGGCGGCUCACUGGACUGGUAUUGACGCUGAGGUGCGAAAGCGUGGGGAGCAAACAGG
rnacentral:rRNA from 1 species